AUGGGGAGGUUUUGCCUCCCAGCCCUCACCCCAGGCUGGGCUCCCUGCUCCCUAGGGAGGACAUUUACCUGGUGUGUAAAUUGUGAGGAAAGCGUUGGGGGUCUGAGACAGGAAAGCCACAACAUGGGAUGUGAUGUUCCAGCUUUGAAGGGGAACAAAGGCCCUGAGCUAAUCCCAGUGAAAGCCAGGAGCGUGGAGAAGGCAACAAAGACUUGCAGCCUGCGGUCACCGGCACAAAGACACAACAUGGCUGCCCUCAAGAUGACCUAUUGCUUUCAAGUUGCUUGAACACAUCAGAAUUUCCAUUGUUAAGGUUGAUUAAUUGAAACUGAUAAGUUACCAUGAAUAAAGAUUGUUUUUCUGUUUAAUGUGGUGGGCCUGAUUUGGUAAAUGCCUCAUUCAUGUAGCUUUGCAGUGCAGCAUAUGGGCAAGAGUCAUUCAGUAUCACAAACAUAUACAAUUUAUUAUGCUUGUAUGGGCACAACCAAAAGGCCUUCCUAUUUUAACGACAAACUUUCAAUGAAAAAUUCCAUUUAAAGAGUCACUAGGAACAUGAUGUGGGAUUUUGUCAUUUAUUCUUAAGAGUUUACAUCUCUGAGUUUCUCUGAGUAGUUUUAAAACUAUUGUAUUUAAAUACAGUUUUAAAAAGGAUGCAAAUGUCCAAAUUAUACCUUAGCACUGGUCAUUGGGAAUACAGCAGAAUUUAUGUUAAAUGUUAACAGACAUACGAAGAGAAAGCACCUUUUCAUCUGACGCUGGCUUGUGUGCUAUGUAAUUGAUAAAGUGAUCUUAAAUGUUUCAUUGAGGUGCCAUCAACAGAAGUUUCCAAGUUUACAAAGAAAAUGUGAAGGUGUUAGCUUCCUAAAGUCUUUUUCCCUUUAAUAAAUCAGAAGACAACAUUUAAAAAUAAUUAGGGACUAUCACAUGAAAAUACAGUGGAUUUAUUAAUUUGCCCACAAUUUCAUUACUGUUAGCAUCCUUUCCUUGAAAGUUGAUGUCACUUUUCAGACUACAUUAAAACUGUCAUGAGUAUUUACCAAUAAAGGUAAGUUUUAAAAUUUUUCUAGUGAUGUUGUACAGAAACAUUCGUUUUCAUUUCAGCUGCUCACAUAAUCACCGAAGGAUAAUAAUGACAACAAAAAUCUACGAGAGACUUGCUAAUGAACUAAAGAAAUGACUGUAUCAAACCAUCAAAGAGAGAGUUACCAUAUUCAGCCUUUAAUGUCUUAUCAAAUAAAUUCUCUGGUCAUUCAUGUCCAUGAAACAGUUCAAGUUCACCCAACAUUUCUCAAUUAAAUUAGAUGGGUAAUCUCAGUUCAGCUCUUCGGAGAGUAAUAAACCACAUUGGUCACAGUUGACCACAGCUAGUAUGCGAUUCAUAAAGGACUGGAUGUCCAUUGGAAAGCUAAUCAGUGCACCGUCACUUGUAAAAUUCCUCCUGCAUUUUGAAGCGAUAAUCUGUAUCUAAUUUUUAAAGAAAAAUUUACUCUCCUUUCACUCUUCUGAGGCCAAUUUCUUUUCUGGACCUGAAUAGAGAUUAUUGGUGAACAGUACCAAAUAGCUUUGGUAUGUGUACAACAAAACCCACCUCUUUGUAGAACAUAACAAAUUAUGCAAUGUUCACAGAUGUGCUUUGCAUUGUGCCUUUGUGAGAAAAUGAAGGCCCAAGUCAAUUCCCACCCUCCUCUUUAUGAAAGCCUGGGCUCCCAUGCAAUCUGUCCUAAUCCUGGGGAAAAAAUCAUUAUACCUAAUAUGGAAGCUUCAGAUAGUUAUCUGAAAAGGGAUUUUUUCAUUUGCACUUUUGGUCUCUGUAAUUUGCAGAAAUAUGAGUUUGAAGUUGCAAGCAAAUUUGUUCCUAGAAACAAGCAGGAAGAUUAAAAUAUUAACUGCUCCUCUAACCCACAUCUGAUGUUUAGAGGAAAUGCUGUGUUCACAUGAUCUCAUGCUUGAAUUUAUAGGCCACCAAAGAAAUAGAGUCAUUUUCCAAUUACAGUUUGAAAAAAUUUACACACUGAAAAUAUUUUAAAUCUUGUUUCUGUAUUUUGGCUUUUUAUGAUUUUAUGGAGGAAGAGGUUAAUCCUAUUAUCAUGAGGUAGCCAUUGCUGCAGGAACGGUGACAAAUGCGGAGGGGCAUUCUCAGGUCUACCAUGCUUCAUGGGACCUCUGUAAAUACAGGUAUUACUUUUACUGAAUGUGCUGGUCUUUGGGAGUCAGUCUUUCAAGCACUGAGGAGAUUCUCUGCAUCCUCAGUACCUAGCCCAAGGCUUUGUUUGUAGUACAUGCUCACAGUUCCUCUAUGAUCCAGCAAUUCCACUCCCGGCAUAUAUCUGGACAAAAUAACAAUUCAAAAGAUACAUGCACCCAAAUGUUCAUAGUAGCACUAUUCACAAUUAGCCAAGACAUGGAAGCAACAUCAGUGUCCAUCAGCAGACGAGUGGAUAAAGAAGACGUGGCACAUAUAUACAAUGGAAUAUUACUCAGCUAUAAAAAAAAGAAUGAAAUAAUGCCAUUUUCAGCAACAUAGAAGGACCUAGAGACUAUCAUACUAAGUCAGUCAGA
rnacentral:lncRNA from 1 species